AGUCAUGUGUGGGGCUCAGAUGGGUGAGCUGUGAUCAUAAACACCUGAGAUCUACAUCCAACACCAGCGUGCUCCAGCUGUGGGACUUCUGGUUCAAAACCUUCCGAGCAUCUAUUUCCUCAUCUGUAAAAUAAGAUUAUGACGACUAUCCUUACCUUUUUUUUUUUUUUUCUUAUAAUUUAGUUUUCAGAGAGAACUUUUUGGGUGAGUGUUUACUUAAUAAUACCUCCUUGGACGCCUGGGUGGCUCGAUCGCCAAGCAUCUGACUUUGGCUCAGGUCGUGGUCUCACGGUUCAUGAGUGCCAGCCCUGGAUCAGAAUGCAAACAGAUUGGAUACAGUUCAAAGACUGGGCAGCAAAACAUAAUUAAGAAGUGACUGACUUAUGGGAAAAGAUGAAAAGAGCUCCAAGUCCGAAAGCCAUGUUGCAGAAACCCCUGGAAGGAGGUGAUCACCACUUCCAAGCAUGGAAAUUCAGGAAAUAAAAGACGAGGAGAGGAACUUCUGGGAGAGGGGCAGGAGUUCAAAAGAGGGUGUUGCAUGAGAACCUACUAGAAUGGGUAAGAUUGGCCCUUCCCCAGGAGGUGAAUGAGUAUACACAGUGUCUGUGAUAAAUCACAGUUGAAUGGAGAACCGUGAUUUGAAGGGAAGAGAAUGCACAUUUCUUCUGAGGCUAAACACCAGCACCACCAAAAAGCCCGUCAUUUACAGUGGGGGUCUGCCAACUUUUUCCGUGAGAAGCAUGGAUCAAAAAUGUUCUCGGCCGUGUGGCCCUCCGGGCUCUGUGUCACCUGUCUACUCUGCCUUUGUUGGCUGAAAGCAGUCAUAGAUGAUAUGUAAAUAAUAUGCAUGGCUGUGUUUCAAUAAAA